rnacentral:tRNA from 1 species
GGUGGGGUUCCCGAGCGGCCAAAGGGAGCAGACUGUUAAUUUUGCGUUCUUCGACUUCGAAGGUUCGAAUCCUUCCCCCACCACCA